rnacentral:tRNA from 1 species
CCCCGUGUGGCUCAGUUGGUAGAGCAUGGUGUUUGCAAUGCCAGGGUUGUGGGUUCGAUUCCCACAGGGGA